rnacentral:rRNA from 1 species
CCUACGGGAGGCUGCAGUGAGGAAUAUUGGACAAUGGGCGUAAGCCUGAAGCAGCCAAGUAGCGUGAGGGAUGAAGGUUCUAUGGAUCGUAAACCUCGUUUAUAAGGGAGUACAGUGCGGGACGUGACCCGUUGUAUACGUACCGUAUGAAUAAGGAACGGCGAACUCCGUGACAGCAGCCGAGGUAAUACGGAGGAUCCGAUCGUUGUCCGGAUUUGUUGGGUUUAAAGGGUGAGGAGGCGGCGUUUUAAGUCAGCGGUGAAAGUCUGUGGCUGCACCAUCGAAUUGCCGUUGAAACUGGCAGGCUUGAGUUAGUUAGAGGCAGGCGGAAUGCGUGGUGAAGCGGUGAAAUGCGUAGAUAUCACGCAGAACCCCGAUUGCGAAGGCAGCCUGCCAAGCCAUUACUGACGCUGAUGCACGAAAGCGUGGGGAUCAAACAGGAUUAGAUACCCUGGUAGUC